GUUGUACCUCUAUUGAAAGGGCGUUUUCCAUCUACAAAGUAUGGCAGCUUUUUCAAAAAACUCACUUGAUGCCAAACUUGUUCAUGGAGUGAAUGAGACCCGAGAGGAUGGAUAACAUCAGGUGAUGUCGAACAUACCGCGAUGCUAAGACAAUGAUUCUCCAGAAGAGCAUAUCCAACACUAUGGAAUUGACCCUCCACAAAAACGAAAGGCGGAUGACAGUCAAUUCAAUUGUAAGGCAACACUUCAUCAUCACCGGGGCUCUCGGGGCCGUCACCUGCCUUUUGAAUCAACUGUGGCUCUCCAAGCCAGCGGCUACCAAAAAGCACCAUUCAACAAACUGCAUGGCUCUUCACAGGCACUCACCUACGUUUUGAUCUUUGUUCUGAUUUGACAUUUCGGAUAGAUCCCGUGAAGAGUGAUUGGCGCCAAUGAUAGUGAACAAGGUCAAAAUCAAAAUGAAGAAGCUUGAGGAUAAAAGCGCUCAACCAGAUAUCUUUCAAAUUAACGAGUUAUCAUUCAAGAUAAAGAAAGUCAAAGCUCACAAAAACCGCCAUUUGGAUGAGAAAUGUGCUUUAGUCAUAUGGAUCGAAAGUAAAACCGGAAAAAUGAUUCCAGCAGAGGAAAAAAAUGGAAUACCUGAUUAGAUUCAUGUCCAUCUGAUGAGUUUGUCAACUAUGGCACAAUGUACUUGAAAUAUGGAAUGUCAACAAGCUUCCCGCCAAAUCGGCCUGCGCUUGGUCGUAGCAACUCCGAGCCACUUUCCGAAUCAAACUGUAACAUAAGAAACGUAGAGAUCUCUUCAAUUACAGGCAGGUCACUUUAUAUCAUUCACUUUUAAGUGGUUCGUUUCAGGCGGAAAAUUCAAACUUGUUUUCAGUGCAUGUUUCUUGAGUUCCCAAGGCAUGGUUUUUGGCUCAAAUUUGGCCAAGAUCAUCUCUUCAGCAAGAUUUUGUGGUCGUAUGUCAAGCUUAUUUGGAAAAAAGUGAACAAUUUAGGAGAUAAUAAAUGUUUGCUUUUGUUUGCA